UAUAGUCAGGCUGCUGUUAUCUGCUUUUGUAUUAAUUCUUGCUUGCUGUGCCAUCAUUUACCAUUUGAAAGGAAAGGACAUCAGAGCGUCUGGAGGCAGAGGAUGACCAGCUGCACUGGUAGUGCGUGAGUUGAUAACGUUCCAGCCACUAGGUGUCAGUAGAAUACCACCUCUUGACUUUUGGAGAAAACGUUAUACUAUGGAAAUCCGGAAAAUUAAAUCUGAAGGCUGUUGAUUUUUGGAACUCGCUUAAUGUUUUGCCAUUUCUGUAAAUAAACUUGAC